AUCAUCUAUAAUAGGAAUUGGAAAGUUAUCCUUAAUAGUAAGAUCAUUCAAUCUUUUGUAAUUAAUACAAAACCUCCACGAGUCAUCUUUUUUCUCGACAAGCAACAUUGGAGAAGCAUAAGGGCUAGUACUUGGCUGUAUGACUCCACUCCCCAACAUUUCCUUCACCAAUUUUUCUAUUUCGGUCUUUUGGAAGUGUGGAUACCUA
rnacentral:misc_RNA from 1 species